UGGGCAACCUGCCCCAGACUCAGGGAUAACCCCGGGAAACCGGGGCUAAUACCCGAUACUCCGAUCGAACCACAUGGCUUGAUCGGGAAAGCUCCGACGGUCUGGGAUGGGCCCGCGUCUGAUUAGCUAGUUGGUAGGGUAAUGGCCUACCAAGGCUACGAUCAGUAGCUGGUCUGAGAGGAUGAUCAGCCACAUUGGAACUGAGACACGGUCCAGACUCCUACGGGAGCAG
rnacentral:rRNA from 1 species